rnacentral:lncRNA from 10 species
GCACGGUCACCUGGGUGAGGGGCAGCGGAAGGGGCGGCGGAGCACCGAUCUCAUGGAUGGGCUCCGAGGGGCUUGCGGGAGGGGGGCGCCAGUGUUCGGGGCCGUUUUGGCGGCUAUGCAGGAUUGGCAGGAGCUGCGAUGCUCACACUUGCCUCGCCGACCGCCAUUUCACAUCCAGCAGAGGAGGCGGGGGCAGCCGCUGAGACGGUUUUUCACAAGGUGCAUUUUAGUGGUUACCAGGUUGCCACGUAUUUGAAGUGGUGUGAGAGCUACUCGUUUGGAACCGUUGUGGAUUUUCAAAUAGGAAAAUCAAAAGGCCCAAAGAGACAGCUCACUGGAAAUGACCUCAUUCUUGAUGGCUGCUGCUAACUUAUGGUGAGAUGCUGGGUCCCUGCCCAAUACCACAUGGACAUCCAAUCAAUUUACCCAGGGACAAGUCCACUCAAGAGCAUCAUUUAGAAGAGGGAAAAGGCACUGGGGUUAUUUGUUUUUGGAGUAUGUGCUUAAGGAAAUCUAGAGUAUUCCCACGAGCAUUCUGCUGAGAUGAACAAUCAGAUGACCUCGUGUGAGAUUUGGAGGAGAGAAGGAAAUGGAGAGCAUGCGUCUGCCGCUUCUGUGGUUUCUGUCGGUAAGCACAGUGAUGAGGUGCUGAGUUUUCCCCAGAAGGCCUCCCAGUGUCCUAUUACCAGCUUCACAAGCGUCGAGGGCAGGGCAUGGGCAUCUAUUGUUCACCAGUGGAGAUCUAUCUGGCACAGAACCGAUCCAACCAUUGCAGUGGUCACAGCGGUGUUGGCUUUCUGAUUCUCAACCUUCCUGACCGCCAGAGGAGACAGCCUCUUUGGUGGCCCUGUUCUGUGGUAUUGUGCUAACCGGUGGUGGGACUAAAACUGUCUCUAUAAUGUUUUAUUUCUUAAAAAAAAAUUCUGAAGCAAAUGUGACAAUAUGUUAACAUUCUUAAAAUCUGGGUAGUGGGAACAUGGAUGUUGUUAUUUGUGGUGUGUUUGAAAUUGUGUCAUAUUAUAAAUUUUAAAAAAAUGUUUUGACUACAAAAUCUCUAUGUAUAUGCCCAGUUUUUGUAGAUUGUUGCUUACGCUUUUCAUAUUUUUACCCAAGGAGUAAUCAGGAAUUCUAAAAGUCUUAUGUAACAGGAUUUAAAAUAAAAUUACACAGAAUCUCAACUGUACUAUAUUUUGAAAAUAUGAAUGAUUAAGAUUAUUUUUUAUAUUUUUAUUAAUAUAGAGAAAAUAAUUUCUAUAAAAUAUGCUUUCAGCUAAUGGGGGAUCCCAUUCCAUAUUUUUUUCUUUUUCUUUUUUUUUUUUAUUUCUCCAAGAAAAACUCAUUCCAGUUCUUUUGCAUUAAAUUCUCUUAUACCAAAAAAAUUGUUUCAAAAGUUGCUUAGUUGUUAUAGAAGAUGAUUGCUUAUAUGAUAAAGAAAUGUUAAGGCCUUGAUAAUAUUCAAAAGCUUCUGUAUAAAAACAAUACCAUGGAAAUUAAUGACAGAGUAAACUUUCUGAAUUAAAGUUCUCUUUCAAACUAUGAGUAAGAGGAGAAUUAGCUGGCUUCUUUUUUCUUUUUUUUGAGGCAGGGUCUUGCUCUGUCACCCAGGCUCAAUCACAGCUCACUGCAGCCUUGACCUCCUGGGCUCAGGUGAUUUUCCCACCUUAGCCUCCUGAGUAGCUGGGACCACAGGCAUGAGCCACCACACCUGGCUAAUUUUUGUAUUAUUUUGGUAGAGAUGGGAUUUCGCCAUGUUGCCCAAGCUGGUCACAAACUUCCUGCCUUGGCCUCCCAAAGUGCUGGGAUUACAGGCAUGAGCCACUAUGCCCAACCUCAGUUGGAUGGGUUUGUGUGUAUGUGUGUGUGUGUUUUGUUUGUUUUUUAGUUUUUGAGACAGAGUCUCACUCUGUCACCCAGGCUGGAGUGCAGUGGCACAAUCACGGCUCACUGCAGCCAUGACCUCUUGUGCUCAGGCAGUUCUCCUGCCUCAGCCUCCUUAGUAGCUGGAACCACAGGUAUGUGCCACCACACCCGGCUAAUUUUUGUAUUUUUUUGUAGAGAUGGGUUUUCGCUAUGUUGCCCAGGCUGGUCUCAAAUUCCUGGGCUCAAACAAUCCACCCACCUCUGCCUCCCAAAGUGCUGGGAUUACAGGUGUGAGCCACCAAGCCCAGCCUAGCUCCUCUACCUGAACUUAUUUUUCAUUAUCCUAAAGUGAUAAAAUAGAUCAAGAAGAUCAGAACAGGCUUAAAUUGAUGCUAUAAAACCAAUUACUCUGUAUUAUCUUUGCAACUCUUUUGUAAGUCUAAAAUUGUUUGAAAAUAAAAGUUUAUUUUAAAAAUUACUAUUCUCUUUCCUAUUCAACACAAAACUUAUUUCAUAAAGAUGCUUAC